GACUCACGAAAGAACAAGACUGGAUGAUUAUUAAAAUCUUAAGCAAAUAUAUCAGCCAGCUGCCACUUGAUGGGUGAAAUAUCUGAAUAUUAGCAGCGGCAAAAACCUUACUCGUCACUCAAGGCUAAGGGCAUUCUCCUGAAAUCCAUCGGCAUGAUGUACUUCUCCUCUCCUCGCCGCCAUGUUUAGCACGCGGACUUGGUCUCCUUCUUGAGGAAAUCGCUCUGAAUGUUUGAUGUAACAAAAUCGCAAGAACAAAACAUUGAUAAUCGUGAAGAACACCGCUCCAAGUACAAUCACAGCAACGGUCCCACUGCGCUUCAGCCAACUUUGUGUGUUGUCAGCCUCGUUGAAGAUGGAUAGAUAUCUCGAGUCCGUUGUUGUGUUGAGUUUUUCGUCCAAACAUUGAAAGACGUGAAACAAGUAAACGAACGAAGCCACCAAAAGCCAAACGCAACCAGCCAUUUUUUUAAUUUGAUUACUUUUAUAAGGAGUAAAAAUAAAAUGUAAGUUCCGCUUGUCAUAUUCGUGGUUGUCAAGAGGCGCUUUCCUUAAUGGCUUCUAAUGUAAUCUUGAAGGCUCUAUUUCCUUGUGUUAUUGAAUGGAGCUAGAGCAGAACUAAAAACUGAAUGGAAAGAAUCGAUGGCACGUACUUAAAAUAAUCAGAUAAAGGACUAUUUGCAAUCAAAGAUGACGAUCUUCAUUAAUUUAUAGACUUUUUUACUUCUAUAAAAGUCUAGAUGAUGGGGUUGGCUUUAAAAAUAAUGUAUUAAUUUUUUUGAUAAAAGUAUAGGAAGAUAACGAUAAUGAUGCUGAUGAUAAUGAAGAUGUUGAUGAUGAUGAAAGAUGAUGAAAAAGACGAUGAUGUUGAUGAUGACAAUAAAGAAGGUGACGACGAUGAUGAUGAUGAUGUUAAAUGCUGAUCAUGAUAAUGAAGGCUGGCUGGAGAUAGUAAUGGAGCUGGAACUAUGAGACCGCGCGUUGUAUCUUAAAUAUUCCAUUAAUAAUGAUACGAAAUAACGGGAGCUGGCACAUCAUAACAUUUAUUCAUGUCAUUUACAACUACUUAUAUACAAAAAGAGAAACUAAUUUACUUUUCUGAUAAAUAAUAUUCAAGCACAAUUUUUAUAUGCAUUCUUAAAAUAUCAAAAUAGUCAUUGAACCAUCCCUUUAAUUACAAUAUCAUGACAUGAAAAUGCCCACAAUGAAACACCCGAGGUGAUAACAUUCUUUGCCAAGCGCUGUGGUGUCCAGGCUACCAAGUAUAGUUCCACGGGCGCCGACGGAAAUGAACGUGAAAGUUAAAUCGCGUAGGGAGUCAGUCAAGCUGGCGUGCCAAUAAGGAUGAACCGUAUUCAGACAUUAUAAAUAAUAUAAGAAAAUGGGAUAAUCUUUUCAGAAACAAAGUGUUAGGCGACAUGAAUAUUUAUCUUAUUGUAGUUUUGUAUGCUAUUUGUUUCAUUUGUUCUGUUCUUGGCGAAGAAUAAGGCUUUUAGAGUAUGGA